rnacentral:rRNA from 1 species
GACGAACGCUGGCGGCGUGCCUAAUACAUGCAAGUCGAACGCUUUUUCUUUCACCGGAGCUUGCUCCACCGAAAGAAAAAGAGUGGCGAACGGGUGAGUAACACGUGGGUAACCUGCCCAUCAGAAGGGGAUAACACUUGGAAACAGGUGCUAAUACCGUAUAACACUAUUUUCCGCAUGGAAGAAAGUUGAAAGGCGCUUUUGCGUCACUGAUGGAUGGACCCGCGGUGCAUUAGCUAGUAGGUGAGGUAACGGCUCACCAAGGCAACGAUGCAGAGCCGACCGGAGAGGGUGAUCGGCCACACGGGGACUGGGCCACGGCCCAGACUCCUACGGGAGGCAGCAGUAGGGAAUCUUCGGCAAUGGACGAAAGUCUGACCGAGCAACGCCGCGUGAGUGAAGAAGGUUUUCGGAUCGUAAAACUCUGUUGUUAGAGAAGAACAAGGAUGAGAGUAAAACGUUCAUCCCUUGACGGUAUCUAACCAGAGAGCCACGGCCAACUACGUGCCAGCCGCCGCGGUAA